rnacentral:rRNA from 1 species
GAUGAACGCUGGCGGCGUGCCUAAUACAUGCAAGUCGAGCGAACAGACGAGGAGCUUGCUCCUCUGACGUUAGCGGCGGACGGGUGAGUAACACGUGGAUAACCUACCUAUAAGACUGGGAUAACUUCGGGAAACCGGAGCUAAUACCGGAUAACAUGUUGAACCGCAUGGUUCAACAGUGAAAGACGGUCUUGCUGUCACUUAUAGAUGGAUCCGCGUCGCAUUAGCUAGUUGGUAAGGUAACGGCUUACCAAGGCAACGAUGCGUAGCCGACCUGAGAGGGUGAUCGGCCACACUGGAACUGAGACACGGUCCAGACUCCUACGGGAGGCAGCAGUAGGGAAUCUUCCGCAAUGGGCGAAAGCCUGACGGAGCAACGCCGCGUGAGUGAUGAAGGUCUUCGGAUCGUAAAACUCUGUUAUUAGGGAAGAACAAAUGUGUAAGUAACUAUGCACGUCUUGACGGUACCUAAUCAGAAAGCCACGGCUAACUACGUG